AACGAACGCUGGCGGCAGGCUUAACACAUGCAAGUCGAGCGCCCCGCAAGGGGAGCGGCAGACGGGUGAGUAACGCGUGGGAAUCUACCCAUCUCUACGGAAUAACGCAUGGAAACGUGUGCUAAUACCGUAUACGUCCUUCGGGAGAAAGAUUUAUCGGAGAUGGAUGAGCCCGCGUUGGAUUAGCUAGUUGGUGGGGUAAAGGCCUACCACGGCGACGAUCCAUAGCUGGUCUGAGAGGAAGAUCAGCCACACUGGGACUGAGACACGGCCCAGACUCCUACGGGUGGCAGCAGUGGGGAAUAUUGGACAAUGGGCACAAGCCUGAUCCAGCCAUGCCGCGUGAGUGAUGAAGGCCCUAGGGUUGUAAAGCUCUUUCACCGGUGAAGAUAAUGACGGUAACCGGAGAAGAAGCCCCGGCUAACUUCGUGCCAGCCGCCGCCGUAACAC
rnacentral:rRNA from 1 species